UCUGUAAAAAACUUAAAUACCAGUUGCGACCAGUAAAAGAGCUUACAUUAUAUCACAGAAUAUAAAAUUACAAAAAUUAAAGUCAAUCCCAAAGUAUCUGUUAAUGAAAAAAAAAAAGGUUUUAUUCUGGAAACAUGUAUUCAUUCACAUAAUCUUUAUCUCAUUCCCAUACUUGUUGAAUUUUUCAGACUGUUUACUCAUAAAUUAUGAUAUCAUGUUAUCUUCUUGGAAAAUACCAUUAUGCAGAAUUGUAUUUCCAAGAAAGCGGCGGUUCUCUAGAAAUACCUCUAGUCAUGGCAAACUAAGUUCAGAAAUGAUAUUCUUUAAUGUCAGUUAGGUUUAUGAUUUAAAUGAGAUUUUCAUGUGCCAGUAAUAAUGUAACAUAACAUUUUAUAUUACAGACAUAAGACCGUACAAGUGUCACUACUGCGAUUAUUAUGCACGGACAAACAGUCAGCUAAAAGUUCAUAUGAUGCGGCAUCAAGGUAUUCGAGAGUUUUGUUGCAAGCUGUGUAACUAUAAGGGUGUGACACAGUCUGACCUGAACCGACACAUGAAAUCCCAGAUUCACAUGCUGAAGUCACGAAAUGCAUGCACGUAUUGUGGCGAAGGGUUCGUGACCACGAAAAAUCUUGAGAAACAUCUGGAUGGCAACUGUAUAGUGAAGAUGCAGAAACUGCAUGGGGGUCUAGACCUACCUCUACAAGAAAGAGUAGCUUAGAUAAACCCAAAGUCACCUCUGUGAAACAAAGAUGUGGCGAUUUUUAUCUUUACCCAAAAAAAGAGUGAAAUUUAAGAUUGACCAAAACUACCUCUAAAUGAAGAGUAUCUUUUAAAAUAAGAUAACUCAUGUAAGAAAGGAUGGGUAGCUUAGGUUGUAUAUUGUAAAUCUGUUGAUAUUUUAGAUGUUUUUAAUGUCUACCUCCGUAAUUAGGAGAUUUUUUUGCUAUGACGAUGUGAGUUAACAGGUGGGGAUUUUAUUAUUUUUAUUAUAACUACCUCUGACCAAAAGAACUUACUUUAGAGAAUUGCAAAAGAUUUAUUUUUGCUAAAUCUACCUCCAAGUAACAUGCAUACAAAAGAAUUUACUCCCAUCACUUGUCUUGAAUAUUCACACAUCAGCCUGGUUAGCCAACAGUUUCUUUUGUUUAAAAUGAUAGCUUUAACAUUUUAUAUAAAUCUUUGAUAGUAAUUUACAAACAUAUUAUUCACUUAAUAUAAGUUUUUUUUAUUUUUUUAGAGUUUGUUUUGGGAAAAUUCUACAUACAAGGAGAUGUAAAGGUUUUCCUAGAAAAAAAGAAAAGUGUUUCCCUGAUUAAAGGGAAUGCAUUCCCUGUAUUUGUUAAAAAAGUUGAAAAAUAUGUAUAGAAGAAAAUAUGUUUAUAAUGUUUUUUUAUAUAUAUUAGAAUUAUUGUUAUGUUUGUAUAGAUUUUGAAUUUUUGCAAGUAUUUUCUUUUUCUGAUGAGGUUUUUUUUUUGUUUGUGAUAAUUGUCUUUUUAUGUACAUGUAUGCUUUUUUGUGAAUUUUAUUCAUUAAGUAUGAAUUCCAUUCUUAAAUCAUUCCAACAGUUUCCUUCGAUUAGUGAUGAUGUUACAGAUUUCAUUGUUGAAGUUAUUGUUUUGCUUCAGAUAAAAAUUUUAUAACUUUAUUUGUAUCAAUCUUGUGUCUGCUUGAGGCAACGGAUUCUACCCGUGGGACCAGUGUAGGUCAGCCGGCAAAUCUUUACUCUCUGAUAAUGGGGUGCAUCAUUUGCUUUCCAGUAAUUUUUUAGAAAUUUUGCUUAGAAAUAAUAAAUGGUAUUGUCCAUAUUAAAAGAUGGACAAGUUCAUUUUAAGAUAUAUAGCAUGUUAAAGGAUUAAUAUAAAUUGUUAUCUUGUUAAAUUAGAAAAGAGAAUAUUGGAAUCCCUAAAGAAAGUACAGAAUGGCAAAAUUGAAAAUGUUGCAGGCACGGUUUAAUUGAGUCUGUUCAUGGAUAGUACUGUCAAGUGCAAACUACCAUCCACGCCCCCUAGCACCGGCUUAUGAAGAAUUCAACAUUUAAACAUAAAAAUUGUGAAUUUUUUUAAUUUAAAAACAUUCGCAGAUGAGUUGAUACAGCCACAUUAUUAAAGAUAGAACAAAUUUCAAGUGAAACUUUAUUUUACUAGCUAUAUGGGGACAUAGAUUGUUUUAUAAAAGUAGAAUGUUAAUGUUAUUGAAAAAAGCUCUAUACUUAUUUAAUAAUACAUUUUUGCUCAGUGCUUUUUACACUUAAAAUUUUGUUAUUAAAUAUGUUGUGAGAGGUGUAAAAAUAUAAGUCUGAAAAAGUUAUUACAAAAUAAGCUAAUUUUAUAUCACUGAAGCCUAUAUUUGAAUCUAAAAACGGGUAUUGUUUUAUUUUCAUUUUUUAGAAAAGACAAUACUGGUAAUAUAAUAAUGCUGUCCCCCAUCCAUCAUCAAUAUGAAAGGUGUAAUGUUUUAUAAGUGUUGAAUGUUGAACAAUCUGUCUGACAGUUUGUUUGGUCGGUACAUUGCUCAUCUCUGCUCAUUAUUCAGAGAACAUCAUGUAUUUGAGAUAGACAUGAGGUCAAAGGUUACAAUGUUUUCAACUUAUUACUGGUAAAGUAUUAUGUUUGCACAUCCAGAAGUGGGAGGGGGUUGGAGUGGAUGGGGCAGUUCAGUUGUCAACAUUUGGCAUCUCUUGUUAAAAUUUGUGUUUAGUGAACUACAAUGUAUAGCAGAAUUCCCUAUAUUCAGAUUUUAUAUAUUAAAAGAAUUAUUGAGAGUUUUACUCCUUAACUGUGCCUAAGAGAUUAUAAUAUACUGGUAAGUAAACUGUUAAUCUACCUCAAUGUAACAA